GCCUGGCACAGUGGUGCACGCCUGUAAUCCCAGCAGCUCAGGAGGCUGAAACAGGAGGAUUGCGAGUUCAGAGCCAGCCUCAACAACAGCAAGAUGCUGAGCAACUCAGUGAGACCCUGUCUCUA
rnacentral:sRNA from 1 species